rnacentral:rRNA from 1 species
UACGAAGGGGGCUAGCGUUGUUCGGAUUUACUGGGCGUAAAGCGCACGUAGGCGGCUCUUUAAGUCAGAGGUGAAAGCCCAAGGCUCAACCUUGGAACUGCCUUUGAUACUGGGGAUCUUGAGUCCGGGAGAGGUGAGUGGAACUGCGAGUGUAGAGGUGAAAUUCGUAGAUAUUCGCAAGAACACCAGUGGCGAAGGCGGCUCACUGGCCCGGUACUGACGCUGAGGUGCGAAAGCGUGGGGAGCAAACAGG